AAAGGGUGACGAAGCGACGCCGCGUGUGGGAAGAAGGCCUUCGGGUUGUAAACNNCUGUCGGGAGUUAAGAAGUGUAAGGGUGUUAAGAGCAUCCUUGCUUGACGUUAGCUCCGGAGGAAGCCACGGCUAACUCUGUGCCAGCAGCCGCGGUAAUACAGAGGUGGCAAGCGUUGUUCGGAAUUAUUGGGCGUAAAGAGCACGUAGGCGGCCCUGCAAGUCAGCUGUGAAAUCCUUCUGCUCAACGGAAGAACGGCAGUUGAUACUACAGGGCUCGAGUGCGGGAGGGGAGAGUGGAACUUCUGGUGGAGCGGUGAAAUGCGUAGAUAUCAGAAGGAACAUCGGCGGCGAAAGCGACUCUCUGGCCCGUAACUGACGCUGAGGUGCGAAAGCUAGGGGAGCAAACGGGAUUAGAUACCCCGGUAGUCCUAGCCGUAAACGAUGGGCACUAAGUAGAGGGGUUU
rnacentral:rRNA from 1 species